UCCCUCAUAGCUCAGUUGGUAAAGAAUCUGCCUGCAAUGCAGGAGACCCGGGUUCGAUUCCUGGGUUGGGAG
rnacentral:tRNA from 1 species